CCCCGGGCUCAACCUGGGAAUUGCGUUNUGAACUGGGUGGCUAGAGUGUGUCAGAGGGGGGUAGAAUUNCACGUGUAGCAGUGAAAUGCGUAGAGAUGUGGAGGAAUACCGAUGGCGAAGGCAGCCCCCUGGGAUGGCACUGACGUUCAUGCCCGAAAGCGUGGGUAGCAAACAGGAUUAGAUACCCUGGUAGUCCACGCCCUAAACGAUGUCGAUUAGCUGUUGGGCAACUUGAUUGCUUGGUAGCGAAGCUAACGCGUGAAAUCGACCGCCUGGGGAGUACGGUCGCAAGAUUAAAACUCAAAGGAAUUGACGGGGACCCGCACAAGCGGUGGAUGAUGUGGAUUAAUUCGAUGCAACGCGAAGAACCUUACCUGGUCUUGACAUGUACGGAACCUUCCGGAGACGGAAGGGUGCCUUCGGGAGCCGUAACACAGGUGCUGCAUGGCUGUCGUCAGCUCGUGUCGUGAGAUGUUGGGUUAAGUCCCGCAACGAGCGCAACCCUUGUCAUUAGUUGCCAUCAUUUGGUUGGGCACUCUAAUGAGACUGCCGGUGACAAGCCGGAGGAAGGUGGGGAUGACGUCAAGUCCUCAUGGCCCUUAUGACCAGGGCUUCACACGUCAUACAAUGGUCGGUACAGAGGGUAGCCAAGCCGCGAGGUGGAGCCAAUCCCAAAAAACCGAUCGUAGUCCGGAUUGCACUCUGCAACUCGAGUGCAUGAAGUCGGAAUCGCUAGUAAUCGCAGGUCAGCAUACUGCGGUGAAUACGUUCCCGGGUCUUGUACACACCGCCCGUCACACCAUGGGAGUGGGGGAUACCAGAAGCAGGUAGGCUAA
rnacentral:rRNA from 1 species